rnacentral:rRNA from 1 species
AGUGAACGCUGGCGGUAGGCCUAACACAUGCAAGUCGGACGGCAGCACAGUAAGAGCUUGCUCUUACGGGUGGCGAGUGGCGGACGGGUGAGGAAUACAUCGGAAUCUACUUUUUCGUGGGGGAUAACGUAGGGAAACUUACGCUAAUACCGCAUACGACCUACGGGUGAAAGCAGGGGAUCUUCGGACCUUGCGCGAUUGAAUGAGCCGAUGUCGGAUUAGCUAGCUGGCGGGGUAAAGGCCCACCAAGGCGACGAUCCGUAGCUGGUCUGAGAGGAUGAUCAGCCACACUGGAACUGAGACACGGUCCAGACUCCUACGGGAGGCAGCAGUGGGGAAUAUUGGACAAUGGGCGCAAGCCUGAUCCAGCCAUACCGCGUGGGUGAAGAAGGCCUUCGGGUUGUAAAGCCCUUUUGUUGGGAAAGAAAAGCAGCAGGUUAAUACCCCGCUGUUCUGACGGUACCCAAAGAAUAAGCACCGGCUAACUUCGUG